rnacentral:rRNA from 1 species
GACGAACGCUGGCGGCGUGCUUAACACAUGCAAGUCGAACGGAAAGGCCCUGCUUUUGUGGGGUGCUCGAGUGGCGAACGGGUGAGUAACACGUGAGUAACCUGCCCUUGACUUUGGGAUAACUUCUGGAAACUGGGGCUAAUACCGGAUAGGAGUUGCUGCUGCAUGGCGUUGGCUUGAAAGUUUCGGCGGAUGGGGAAGGAGACGCGGCUUAUCAGCUUGUGGGUGGGGUAGUGGCUUACCAAGGCGUUGACGGGUAGCCGGCCUGAGAGGGUGACCGGCCACAUUGGGACUGAGAUACGACCCAGACUCCUACGGGAGGCAGCAGUGGGGAAUAUUGCACAAUGGGCGGAAGCCGGAUGCAGCAACGCCGCGUGCGGGAUGACGGCCUUCGGGUUGUAAACCGCUUUCGCCUGUGACGAAGCGUGAGUGACGGUAAUGGGUAAAGAAGCACCGGCUAACUACGUG